ensembl:lncRNA
AAAGAAUCCCAGACGAAGGAGAGAGCGCGAAAUCCGGCUGCGUAAAUCAGGGACGCCGCCAGCGUCUGUGCUAACAGUUGAAGCUGGAAUCCUGGGGGGCCGGAGGGAAAGCUUAUAGAGGACGCACGUGCAGCGCAGGGAAGAAAUAUCAGGUACCGAAGAACUCUCUAAUCUCCCAGAGAAAGCCGUAACAAGAACUGACGGAUAAAUGCCGAAGCCAGACAAGUCCCAAUUAAAAAAUAAAGAAGGGAACUAUUUUUAUUUGCUUUAUUUUGUACAAGGAAGUCGGGGCAAUGAAGCAUUUGAGCCGGCUGUUACAGGAAGUGCUGGAGUCUCCCUGUCUCAGCCUCUUUGGAUAAAGACUUGUGUUCCUUCUGGGAGCACAGCUUGACUCACACAACUUAUUGUACGCUGCUCAGGGGCAGCAGGGUGAAUGUCUGUGGCCCACAUUACGCAGACAGUCCAAUAAAAUCAUCCGAAAAUGUUCUGUUUAAACUGUGUAAAGACUUUUAGCCUCUGCCUGUUUUACACUGAGGGCUUAAUUAAAAAAAAAAAAAUCAAAAUAAAAAAAUAAUAAAAAAAUCAGG